UAUUUUUGAGCACCACCACCACCACCAUCACUUCCUUAUCCAUAUACUUUCAAUCUUCUCCAUAAUAUAACUGUUUUUUUCUACUGCAUUCCUUGUGUAUUGAUUUAUGUGUUCCUUCCUUUCCUAGUCACUUCUAUUACUUAUAAUCCUUUAGUAGUGUUGUUUUGCUCAUUAUAUUAUUUUUCUAUACCGUGACAUAUUUAUUUUACUCUUCUUUCAUAAUGUCAACUUUCUUUCCUUUCUCAGUGAUUGCCAGUAUAAUAUAAACCAUUAAUAUUUCUAUCCCUAUUAUCCUAACCCUUUAUACCAUGACAUUCAACUCCUCUUCCUUCGUUUCUAGUUUUUCUUCCUGUAUUUCGAUGCCAGUUCAUAUAUAUUGUCCAUUAGUUUCUUUAUUAUCUCUCUAUAUAUUGCAUCAUUAUCAUCUUUAUAUCGCUCUUCAGUAUCUUUCAUUGCCUUACUUCGCUUAUCAGUAUCUUUAUCACCCUUGUAUUUUCCGUCAGUUAUUUUACUCUCCUCUUUAUUGCAUAUCAGUAUCUAUGCUUGCCGUACAUUUCAUUUAUUCAGUCUAUAACUAUUCACUUCUAUUCAGAGUAUAUCAUGACCAAUUCCUCUCCCUUCCAACACUUUCUAAUCAUCUUGUACUUCAGUCUUCCUUUAUUUUUUAGUCCUUAUCGGUAUCUUGAUCUUAGCUUAGGCCUAGUCAAUCUUAUCCAAUAUAUUAACCAUUAUAUUCGUUCGUGACACAAUAGUUAAUUCUUCAUAGCUGGUGUCCCUUCUAUACUCCAUUAGCUAAGUGGUUUCUCUCCCUUAUACCAUGUUAUAUUAUUUCCUCUCCUUUCUUUAUGCUUUAAAUUCCAGGUUUCUAAUAGCUUCGCCAAUAUCUUAGUCCCCCACCCUCUAGUUCAUUCUUUCUCUUCUAUACUCCAUUAGCAAACUGUUUUCUCUCUUAUACCAUGUUAUAUUAUUUCCUCUCCUUUCUUUAUGCUUUAAAUUCCAGCUUUCUAAUAGCUUCGCCAACAUCUUAGUCCUUCAUCCACUAGUUCAUUCGUCAUAGCUUCUCUUCUACACACCAUUAGCUAACUGUUUUCUCUCUUAUACCAUGUUAUAUUUAUUUCGUCUUAUUUCUUUAUGCUUUAAAUUCCAGGUUUCUAAUAGCUUCGCCAAUAUCUUAGUCCCCUACCCUCUAGUUCAUUCGUCAUAGCUUCUCUUCUACACUCCAUUAGCUAACUGUUUUCUCUCUUAUACCAUGUUAUAUUUAUUUCGUCUUAUUUCUUUAUGCUUUAAAUUCCAGGUUUCUAAUAGCUUCGCCAAUAUCUUAGUCCCCUACCCUCUAGUUCAUUCGUCAUAGCUUCUCUUCUACACUCCAUUAGCUAACUGUUUUCUCUCUUAUACCAUGUUAUAUUAUUUCCUCUCCUUUCUUUAUGCUUUAAAUUCCAGGUUUCUAAUAGCUUCGCCAAUAUCUUAGUCCCCCACCCUCUAGUUCAUUCGUCAUAGCUUCUCUUCUACACUCCAUUAGCUAACUGUUUUCUCUCUUAUACCAUGUUAUAUUUAUUUCGUCUUAUUUCUUUAUGCUUUAAAUUCCAGGUUUCUAAUAGCUUCGCCAAUAUCUUAGUCCUUCACCCUCUAGUUCAUUCGUCAUAGCUUCUCUUCUACACACCAUUAGCUAACUGUUUUCUCUCUUAUACCAUGUCAUAUUUAUUUCGUCUUAUUUCUUUAUGCUUUAAAUUCCAGGUUUCUAAUAGCUUCGCCAAUAUCUUAGUCCUUCAUCCACUAGUUCAUUCUUUCUCUUCCACACUCCAUUAGCAAACUGUUUUCUCUCUUAUACCAUGUUAUAUUAUUUCCUCUCCUUUCUUUAUGCUUUAAUUCCAAUCGCAUUCAAUAUCUACGCCAAUAUCUUAGCCUCUGACGCACUAGUUCAUUCUCCAUUGCUUUCUCUUCUUCAUACUCUUAGCUAACUAUUUCCUCACUUGUACCUCGACAUGUUUAUAUCCUCUCCUUUUUUUAUGCUUCAAUUCUAGCCUUCCAAUACCUCAACCAAGAUCUUAGUUUCUGCCACAUUAAUUCAGUCUCAGCUAACUGUUUUCUCUCGUUCCUCCCUUCCUUCCCACUCUUGAUUUCGUCCCUUCCCUGCAAUUACGUAUUUUCUCUCGCCUUUCCCUUCCUUAUUAAUGGCAGUCAGUGGGUCAUUAAGGGGGUCAUGCGUCCUUUUAAUUAGUUGACGUUCUUAUUUCCAUCCGUUCUUAAUUUCUUUCUCUUUACUGUUUUGUGGUAUUACAGUAAGUUAUUUUCAUGUAAUUAUUCUUAUUUGAUUCAUCAUUUUUACUUUUUUUUUCCUAUAUUCAUCAUCGUCUUAUUCAUCGUUUCUCCCUCUGUCAUCGCAUUUUGUAAUCAUCACUUUUUCUUUAUUAAUUUCCUGGUAAUUUAAUUUUGUGUCCUGUUGUCUCCCCUUUCGUGAUUUAAUGAUUCGUUGUCACCUUUUUUGUUUCAUCUCUUUCUCGUGUUAUUCUUCUCCUCCUCUCUUCAUUUGUUUCUUUUCUUUUACGUUCUUAUCAUAUUAUUCGUCUCUCUUCAUUUGCAUCUUUUAUGGCUUGUCUCUUUAUUCCUUUAUUCUCUUCCUCUCUCUUUCUUUCUUCCCUUCGUCGUCUGUGUAUAUAUUUUUAUCCCUUUUUCCUUACGUUAUAAUUACUUCAUUUCCUUUAUUUUCGCCUCCUUCUUUCUUUUUCUUUAGUCUCUUUCUAUUGAUUAUUUUCUCUUCCUUUCCUUUCAGCUUUCUCCUCCGUUUGCAUGUAUAUUUUCAUCUAUUUUUCGACAUCCUAAUUACUUCAUUUCCUUUCUUUUUUGUCUCUUCCUUGCGUUCCCUCUCACUUUCUUUCCACCCAUUACUUUCGUUGCAGUUAUGAUCACCUUCUACAUGUAUAUAAAUAACCUAUAAAAACCUCCUAUAAAUUUGCUAUAACUCGGUUUCUGUUUGUAUAUAACCUAAGAAUAUCUCCACUAACUUGUAUGUCUUGAUGAAUUCGUAUUUCUAUAUAACUUACGAAUCUCUGCUAUAACUUCCCUGAUGGAUUCGUGUUUAUAUAUCAUCUAAGAAUAGUUAUAACUCGUACGUCUUAAAGAAUUCGUAUUUGCUUAUAUAUAACCGAUGAAUAAUUUGCUAUACCUCGGACUCCUUGAUGGGUUCUUUCUAUGUGUUUGUAUAUAACCUUAAGAAUGUUUGCUAUAAUAACCGCUUCUGUUACGACCAUCUCUGUUUCCUGCUGUAUCUGUUCUUCUUCUAUACGACCUUCUGUUACUACCAUGUCUAAGUCUCCUGUUAUGUGUCUACUUUUACUAUCACUGUUAGCUGUUAUAUGCUUUCUUUUGCUUCUACUGGUGAAUUUGAUGUUGAUAGUCUGUUUGCGUGCAGGUGUGUGUGUGUGUGUGUGUGUGUGUGUGUGUGUAUGUACAUGUCAAUCACAAAACGUACAUACACUCUUUUUCUUCUUCCAUAUCCAUCAUCUUGUGUGUGUGUGUGUGUGUGUGUGUGUGUGUGUGUGUGUGUGUGUGUGUGUGUGUGUGUGUGUGUGUGUGUGUGUGUGUGUGUGUGUGUGUGUGUGUGUGUGUUUGUGUGUUUGUUUUCAGUUUCAUGUACACGGUUACGCUAGAUACUGAAUGAUUUACUCACACACACACACA